rnacentral:snRNA from 1 species
CCUGUCGCACCACGAGGCGCU